rnacentral:rRNA from 1 species
UAGGGAAUCUUCGGCAAUGGGGGCAACCCUGACCGAGCAACGCCGCGUGAGUGAAGAAGGUUUUCGGAUCGUAAAGCUCUGUUGUAAGUCAAGAACGGGUGUGAGAGUGGAAAGUUCACACUGUGACGGUAGCUUACCAGAAAGGGACGGCUAACUACGUGCCAGCAGCCGCGGUAAUACGUAGGUCCCGAGCGUUGUCCGGAUUUAUUGGGCGUAAAGCGAGCGCAGGCGGUUUGAUAAGUCUGAAGUUAAAGGCUGUGGCUCAACCAUAGUUCGCUUUGGAAACUGUCAAACUUGAGUGCAGAAGGGGAGAGUGGAAUUCCAUGUGUAGCGGUGAAAUGCGCAGAUAUAUGGAGGAACACCGGUGGCGAAAGCGGCUCUCUGGUCUGUAACUGACGCUGAGGCUCGAAAGCGUGGGGAGCGAACAGG